rnacentral:rRNA from 1 species
UACGAAGGGGGCUAGCGUUGCUCGGAAUCACUGGGCGUAAAGGGUGCGUAGGCGGGUCUUUAAGUCAGAGGUGAAAUCCUGGAGCUCAACUCCAGAACUGCCUUUGAUACUGGUGAGCUUGAGUCCGGGAGAGGUGAGUGGAACUGCGAGUGUAGAGGUGAAAUUCGUAGAUAUUCGCAAGAACACCAGUGGCGAAGGCGGCUCACUGGCCCGGUACUGACGCUGAGGUGCGAAAGCGUGGGGAGCAAACAGG